rnacentral:tRNA from 1 species
CGCUAAGAAGCUGAACUGGGCCCAGCGUUAGCCUUUUAAGCUAAAGAUUGGUGAUUCCCGCCCACCCCUAGCGA